rnacentral:rRNA from 1 species
UAGGGAAUAUUGCACAAUGGGGGAAACCCUGAUGCAGCGACGCCGCGUGAGUGAAGAAGUAUUUCGGUAUGUAAAGCUCUAUCAGCAGGGAAGAAAUACUGACCGAGAGGUCAGCAGACAGUACCUGACUAAGAAGCCCCGGCUAACUACGUGCCAGCAGCCGCGGUAAUACGUAGGGGGCAAGCGUUAUCCGGAUUUACUGGGUGUAAAGGGAGCGUAGGUGGCAAGGCAAGUCAGAUGUGAAAGCCCGGGGCUCAACCCCGGUACUGCAUUUGAAACUGUCUAGCUGGAGUGCAGGAGAGGUAAGUGGAAUUCCUAGUGUAGCGGUGAAAUGCGUAGAUAUUAGGAGGAACACCAGUGGCGAAGGCGGCUUACUGGACUGUAACUGACACUGAGGCUCGAAAGCGUGGGGAGCAAACAGGAUUAGAUACCC